UACGAAGGGGGCUAGCGUUGUUCGGAUUUACUGGGCGUAAAGCGCACGUAGGCGGAUCGUUAAGUCGGGGGUGAAAUCCUGGAGCUCAACUCCAGAACUGCCUUCGAUACUGGCGAUCUUGAGUCCGGAAGAGGUGAGUGGAACUCCUAGUGUAGAGGUGGAAUUCGUAGAUAUUAGGAAGAACACCAGUGGCGAAGGCGGCUCACUGGUCCGGUACUGA
rnacentral:rRNA from 1 species